rnacentral:misc_RNA from 1 species
CCAGGAGUUUCACAACUCUCCACCCUCGUGCGUACGUAGUAAACAGCCUUGGUUGCUUCGGCGGCGCGCUGGCCUCCUGCGCCGGCCGCCGCCGGGGGGACUCACCAAAAAACCCUUGCGAAACCGGAAGCGUCUGAGUAUACAAAACAACAAGUU